GGGAAUGUGGUCUAGUGGUAAGAUACUUGUCAUGAAAACAUGAGGCGAUAGUUCGAUUCUAUCCAUUCCCA